UAUUGCUGUGACUAUUAUGCUUACUUUGACAACUGGGGACAAGGAACCAUGGUCACCGUCACAUCAGCUUCACUGAGUGCCCCAUCUCUGUUCCCACUCAUCCCAUCAUGCGGGCUGUAUCCAGACCAGAAUCCCAUCACAGUGGGCUGCUUGGCAAAGGACUUCCUUCCUGAAUCAAUCACCCUCUCCUGGCUCAACAACAAGGAUGUAAAUAUGACCAAAGGUGUCACAAGCUUCCCAUCCGUCCUGACCAGUGCUGGGUCCUACACUGCUGCCACUCAGAUAUCGGUGUCUAACUCUGACUGGAGGGUACAGCAGCCUUUGUUUUGUGCAGCUGAGCACCCACAAGGAAAUAGAAAGAUAAAGAUUCCAGCUUUUAUCGCCAACCCUGUCAUGACCCUCCAUGGCCCCACCACUGAAGACUUUGAAGGCCCAUUCAGAAAUUCAACUGUCAUCUGCCAAGUCAAGGAUCUUCCCACCCGGGAUAUUACCCUUAGCUGGCUGAGAAAUGGGGCUCCACUGAAGUCUGGUUUCAGCACCACUGGCCCUCUCCUCACGGACGAAGGAUUCCUUAUCAUCAGUGAGCUGAUUGUCACUGAGGAGAACUGGAAGGCCAACGUUAUUUACACCUGCAAGGUGGACAGCCGUGGAUUCAGUGAAGUGAGGAAUAUUAGCAAACUGUUGAUCUGUGACUCUCCUUGCCUCUCUGGCGAAAUUGAUGUCCAGCUCAUCCCACCUUCCUUUGCUGAAACCUACCUUACUAAAGCAGCCAAGCUGACCUGCAGGGUCAUUAACUUGCCCACUGCAGAUGGGCUUGUUGUGACGUGGAGGAGACAGGACGGCAAACUGCUGGAAACAACCAUUCAUCCACGUGUUGUGCAACCCAAUGGCCAGUACCACGUGGAUGCCACAGCCAGUGUGUGCGCAGAUGAGUGGGACAAGGGAGAAACAUACAUCUGCCAAGUGACCUACCCAGAUCUUAUCUUCCCAAUAGAAAAGAUCCUGCGCAGACAGCCUGAAGCCAGAAGCCAUGCUCCAACCAUCUAUGUCUUCCCUCCUCCCUCUGAGCAGCUAGCCCGCCAUGAAACUGCCACAGUCACUUGCCUCGUGAAGGGCUUCAACCCACCUGAUCUUUUUGUCCGGUGGCUGCAAAACGGUGAGCCAAUGAAUGCCUCCACUUACAUCACCGGCAAGCCUACGCUCGAAUCCCAGCAGUCAGAGACCUACUUCACCUACAGCACCCUGACCAUCAGGGAGCAGGCGUGGAAUGCCGGCAACACCUACACAUGUGUAGUGGGACACCAGAAGCUGCCCAUGCAGGUGGCUCAGAAGACCAUCGACAAGUCCACGGGUAAACCAACCUUGGUCAAUGUGUCUCUGGUGCUGUCUGAUACUGCCAGCACCUGCUACUAACCUUCCCUUAAUCACCCAACCCUCACUGUGAAUAUUCCCCCUCCUUCCACUAUAGUGAACAGGAGUAGUCACACUGCUCUGGUAGCUGUGGAAAAUAAUAUUGUUUCCAGAAUGGAAAACCCUUGGCUGCAUCUUUAAAAAAAAAAAUAGAAAUAAAGUGAAUUUUGGAACU